rnacentral:rRNA from 1 species
AUUGAACGCUGGCGGCAUGCCUAACACAUGCAAGUCGAGCGAGCGGCGGACGGGUGAGUAAUGUAUGGGGACUUCCCGAUAGAGGGGGAUAACUACUGGCAACGGUGGCUAAUACCGUAUACUGUCGUAUAACCCAUAUGGGAUGAGCUAGUAGGUAAGGUAAUGGCUUACCUAGGCGACGAACCCUAGCUGGUCUGCGAGGGUGAUCAGCCACACUGGGACUGAGACACGGCCCAGACUCCUACGGAGGCAGCAGUGGGGAAUAUUGCACAAUGGGCGCAAGCCUGAUGCAGCCAUGCCGCGUGUAUGAAGAAGGCCCUAGGGUUGUAAAGUACUUUCAGUCGGGAGGCGUUACCGACAGAAGAAGCACCGGCUAACUCCGUGCCAGCAGCCGCGGUAAUUC